CUACUGCUAUUGGAGUUCGAUUAAGCCAUGCGAGUCUAAGGGGUACUUGUACCCCUGGCAUAAUGCUCAGUAACACGUGGAUAAUCUACCCUUAGGUGGGGCAUAAACCCGGGAAACUGGACGCUAAUACCCCAUAGAUACAGAACGCUGGAAUGCCUCUGUAUUCAAAGCUCCGGCGCCUAAGGAUGAGUCUGCGACCUAUCAGGUAGUAGUCAGGGUCACGACCUGACUAGCCAACGACGGGUACGGGGUGUGAGAGCACUUGCCCGGAGAUGGUUUCUGAGACAAGAAACCAGGCCCUACGGGGCGCAGCAGGCGCGAAAACUUCGCAAUGCGGGAAACCGUGACGAGGGAACUCCAAGUGUCUAUGCAAUGCAUAGACUGUUUUUCAGCCUAAAUAGCUGUUAGAGUAAGGGGUGGGUAAGACCGGUGCCAGCCGCCGCGGUAACACCGGCACCCCGAGUGGUAGCCACUAUUAUUGGGCCUAAAGCGUUCGUAGCCGGUUUAGUAAAUUCUUGGGUAAAUCGUACAGCUUAACUGUGCGGAUUCCGGGGACACUACUAGACUUGAGACCGGGAGAGAUUAGAGGUACUUGCAGGGGAGCGGUGAAAUGUUGUAAUCCUGCAGGGACCACCAGUGGCGAAGGCGUCUAAUCAUAACGGCUCUGACGGUGAGGAACGAAACCCUGGGGCGCAAACGGGAUUAGAAUACCCCGGUAGUCCAAGGGCGUAAACGCUGCUGACUUGGUGUUGGGAGAUCCUACGAGGGUGUCC
rnacentral:rRNA from 1 species